ACUAUUUAUAUUUCACUUAAUUUAACCAAACACAUAGAAAAAGUCAUUUUUAUUAGUUUAUAAAAUCAGUUAGGCAUGAACAUUGACUAUUUAUUUAGGUACGAGUUGUUCUUUUCACGUAUCGGUGUUUUUGUUUAGAAAUUAGGCUCCCUUUGAAUAUUAUAAAUUUAUGUGUGGGUUUUGAGUUGAGUCAUUUUGUGUCUGGAUGAGUUCAGUUAUGAUGUAUAAGAACCUAAAAAUAUUUAAAUAACAAAUAUAUCUGACAUGGUUCGGAUAAACCAUAUUACAUGAUUCAGUUUAGAUCUUUUGAAUACAAUUAUUUACAUUACAAUCCAUCUAAAACAUAUAACACUAAUUAUGAAAACAAAUAUCAAUGCAUAAAAAUAUAAAAACUAAUACCCACGCGGAUGCGCGGAUCAAUCUCUACUAUUUUUUACAACAAGACGACAAAACAAAGCAAAAGAAAAUUUAGCCAAGACAGAAAUAGACAAAAACCCAACCGUAAGCAUGCUAAAAGCAUUUCCAACAGCAGUUUCUAGAAAAGGUUCUCAACAUUUAAGAGAAAAUAAUAACAAAAUCAGGAAAAAAAAUACCAAAAGUUCUUGUUUCAGAGCUUUAAGAGUAUGUUUAUUGCAGAUUUUUAAGUGUGUAUCUUAGGUAAUUAGGAAUUAAAAAGAAAAGAAAAAAUACCAUUAACUUAAGCAUCGGGUCUUAAUUAAGGCUUGGAAAAAGCGGUUCUUCUUAGCCACGUGUUCUAAAGCUAUUAGCUUUGUGUUUUUGUUGGAAAAGAAAAGAGGCAAAGGAAAGACGAAACACAUCUUCUCCGUCUUUCAACUCCUCGACGAAGACGAUCGGUGGUCGCAUCCUCGAUGAAGACGAUCGGUGAUUUUGUCGACGAAGAAUAUCAGUGGUGGUGGCUCUCCCCGACGAAGAAUCUCGUGGGUCAGAUCUCGGUGGCUCUCGUCGACGAAGAAUCUCGGUGGCUCUCAGCGACGGCAAAUCACGGUGACUCGACGGAGAAAAUCGGUGGCUCUCAGCAACGGCGAAUCACGGUGGCUAGACGGAGAAAAUCGGUGGCUCUCAGCGACGGCGAAUCACGGUGCUGAAUUUAAUCGAUGAGCAAAGCUAAGUAAUUUAUUUUAUAUUUUGAAGUCCUCUAUUUUGCAUGUUUUUGAUUUUGGUCCUUCUUGUUCGUGUUUGAUGUUUAAUACACUAAAUCUGAUUUCUUCAAUUGCAGAUGGAAGUUCCAUUGAAGAGACAAUCAUUAAUUGUCUGGAGAGGCAAUCGAUCUUCUCUGCAAACUCAAAGGUUUGAUUUUCCCGAUCUCAUCUUCUUCUCGGUUCUGUAUACAAUUCUCGUUUCUGAUAAUGAGAUGUUGAUGGAGAGAUUUCGCACUGUUUUGAUCAUUUCCUUGAUUGUUUGACUGAAUGUAAAAAUUUCCAGUGAAUGAACAUCAUGUCUAGUACUUCUUGAUCGUAUUGGUUUAGUAGAUUCUCGCUAGGUGGCUUGGUGUCUAGUACUUCAUGAUCUUGAAUCUUGAGAAUGAAGAACAGUUUUGAUCAAUUUAAUAUAUCAUUCUUGUGAUUCUUUUUGAUUCGUUUGUCUUUGUGUCUUAUGGAUAAGGAGACAUGAUAAGGAGAGAUGAUAAGGAGACAUGAGCAAUGUUAAGAAAUCAAAAGGGCAACAAUUGCAAGACACGUUGGACAAUCAACAUACGCAGAGCUUCUUGUUCUGGUUCUGAUGAUGGGGUGAGAGUUGCCAAAGUUGAGAAAGAAAUAAAUCAUUGAAGGUUCUUGUUCUCUUCUUCGAAGACGCUGAAGAUCAUCACGGGCUGUCCUUUGUAUUGUUGUGUGUCACGGGCUGUCCUUUGUAAUGUUGUGUGUCACGGGCUGUUGUUGUGUUGCGGUCUUUUGUAGUCUUGUGGUCCAUGUGUAAUGAAAGGUGUUGUUGUGUUGUGGUUGUCUGUAUUAUUGUAUCACGAGAGACACUUUGUCUUGUAAAGAUAUCGAGAGACACUUGCAUCACACACACUUAUAAAUUGUGUUGUAUUCUCACAA